ensembl:lncRNA
CAAAGAGCAGAGAGAAUCAGAGAGGUAAAGGUGUGAGGGCAGGAAGCUCGAUGCUGAAGACAGAAGAAUAACACAGUGGAAGUUGUCCUGUGGACGAUUUAGCUCUAUUGAAGAACAUCAAUCCAGCUGUCAAAACAGCUGGUGCUCAAAUACUACUCUAUAAUGGGGCCUAACAAGCGGACCAGGACAGGCCUUUCUGCAACAUCUGGUGCCGUAAUUGGACAGCCGACUGUGACCCCCCGUUGGAUCAAAACAGGCCUUCCUUUUUUUGCUGUCCCUGCUAACAGAAUCCAGACCCUGGACUCGCACUACAAUUUCCAGCGCUGUGAGAACGGCCGGCUACGCUAACGACGCGGCCGGCGUGGGGGUCAGUGCUAGAAUAAUGACCUCGGCAGCCUCACACUUUGUCCAAUUAAACUGCAGAACACUUCAAAAGGUCAGACCUUCAUCCCAGCAAGGAACACUGGAGAGGGAAGAAAAGCAUAGAGGAACUGAAGAACCCCUCUUUAAUAGUUUAGGACUGUGCAGGGCGUAUUUAGGUUUCUAAUAAUGGGGCAAUGGCGUGUGUGGCUGGUGUGUGUAUAAAGGUUUUUUUAUAGGGGGCAUAAAGAGGGUAAUAGGGCUUUGAGGGUUGGAAUUUGUCAGUAGUAAGGUCUAGUCUAAUGACAGUCUCUCUUAACUCUAUAGGAAUUCCUUGUAUAACUUCAGUCUGUCAGGAUUAACAAUUCUGCCGCAGGAUAUUUGAGAAGUUUCACAAGCGGGAACUUGAGAGGCUAAAAGUGAAAAAUGUUGCAGUUAGUUUGACCAUAAUUAAACAGUUUAUGGAACACAGCAGCCAGACUUGUUUGAGUUGCUGUGAGUUAAUUUAUGCUUUUUCAUAUCCUUAAGUUAAUUAGAAUGUAUCAAACUCAACAAGCCAUAGGUACAAGUAAAAAAUACUAGCCUUUUUUACCACCAAAGACAGAACAGCAUCCCUAAAGCACUGUCACUGCUAUAUCCCAGGCACACACACUUAGUUUUAUGUAAUGUCAGAAGAAAAGUUGGAGCACGAGUGAAGUACAGCUUACUUCUUCUGUAGCACAUGAACCAAUGUCAUCAAUGUCAUCAAUGUCAUCAUUGGCAAA